UUAUUUAUGAUUCCAAAUCAUAAUUCAACCAUCGGAUCGGUCAAUACCUCUAAUGUGUGUGACCCCAUAGGUUCUAUUCUGUCUGGUAGUGAGAUAUACUGCGAUCUCAAUCACAAUAUCAUUGAAAACUCCUUUCAAUGGGUUGGAACAAUUCCAACUCAACUCACCAGGGAUCAUCAAUCAUCAAGAUAGUCCCUGUGAGUCUCACCAUCCACCAGUGACACCUAGCAGCUUGUAGUGGCUACCCAGCAGAAUGGAAUGAUGAACCUCUAGGUGCAGUUAUCGUAUGAUACAGUCCUUCUAUCAUGGAUCCCUACGGGACGGAGGUCA
rnacentral:lncRNA from 1 species